AGCGAACGCUGGCGGCAGGCUUAACACAUGCAAGUCGAACGCCCCGCAAGGGGAGUGGCAGACGGGUGAGUAACACGUGGGAACGUACCCUUUGGUUCGGAAUAACUUGGGGAAACUCAAGCUAAUACCGGAUAAGCCCUUAUGGGGAAAGGUUUACUGCCGAAGGAUCGGCCCGCGUCUGAUUAGCUAGUUGGUGAGGUAAUGGCUCACCAAGGCGACGAUCAGUAGCUGGUCUGAGAGGAUGAUCAGCCACACUGGGACUGAGACACGGCCCAGACUCCUACGGGAGGCAGCAGUGGGGAAUAUUGGACAAUGAGGGCAACCCUGAUCCAGCCAUGCCGCGUGAGUGAUGAAGGCCUUAGGGCUGUAAAGCUCUUUUACCCGGGACGAUAAUGACUGUACCGGGAGAAUAAGCCCCGGCUAACUUCGUGCCAGCCGCCGCCGUAA
rnacentral:rRNA from 1 species